GACGAACGCUGGCGGCGUGCUUAACACAUGCAAGUCGGGCGAGCGGCGGACGGGUGAGUAAUGUAUGGGGAUCUGCCUGAUGGCGGGGGAUAACUACUGGAAACGGUAGCUAAUACCGCAUACCAUCACAUGAACCCAUAUGGGAUUAGCUAGUAGGUAAGGUACCGGCUUACCUAGGCGACGAUCCCUACCUGGUCUGAGAGGAUGAUCAGCCACACUGGGACUGGGAUACGGCCCAGACUCCUACGGGCGGCAGCAGUGGGGGAGAUUGCACAAUGGGCGAGAGCCUGAUGCAGCGACGCCGCGUGGGGGAUGAAGGCUUUCGGGUUGUAAACCUCUUUCGCUAUCGAACGGGUAGGUGGAGAAGAAGCGCCGGCUAACUACGUGCCAGCAGCCGCGGUAAUAC
rnacentral:rRNA from 1 species